rnacentral:rRNA from 1 species
GACGAACGCUGGCGGCGUGCUUAACACAUGCAAGUCGAACGGUGACCCAUCUUCGGAUGGUGAUCAGUGGCGAACGGGUGAGUAACACGUGGGCAACCUGCCCCUAGCUCUGGGAUAACUCCUCGAAAGAGGUGCUAAUACCGGAUAACUCCCCCCACGACAUCGAGGGUGGUUGAAAGUUUUUCGGCUAGGGAUGGGCCCGCGGCCUAUCAGCUUGUUGGUGGGGUAACGGCCCACCAAGGCGACGACGGGUAGCCGGCCUGAGAGGGCGACCGGCCAAACUGGGACUGAGACACGGCCCAGACUCCUACGGGAGGCAGCAGUGGGGAAUAUUGCGCAAUGGGCGAAAGCCUGACGCAGCAACGCCGCGUGAGGGAUGACGGCCUUCGGGUUGUAAACUCCUUUUCUCAAUGAAGAAGUUCUGACGGUAUUUGAGGAAUAAGCAUCGGCUAAUUCUGUGCCAGCCGCCGCAGUAA